UGAUCUGGGCCGACAUGGUCUGCUUCUCAAU
rnacentral:piRNA from 1 species